ensembl:lncRNA
CCCAUAGUCUGUUCUGGACUUGGGGACUGUGAAGAGACCUCUGGUGGCAUGUCUUGUGGGGUAUGCAUGGGUGUCUGAGCAUUUUAAACUGACAGCUCGGUGCUUUCAACAUGUUAAUACCUCUCACAAAGACAAGUAAUGAUGCAGUCAAUCUGUCCUCUACUGCGAGCCAGGAGAGAUUGACAUGCAUGUUAUUGAUGUUAGCUCCCCGUGUACAUUUAAGGGCCAGCCCUGCUGCUCUGUUCUGGGCCAACUGUAAUUUGCCUAUGUCCCUCUUUGUGGGGGCAAUACUUUGACUGAGCAGUAGUCCAGGUACGACAAAACUAGGGCCUGUAGAACUUGUUUUGUUGAUGGUGAUGUCUUGAAACGAAAAACAGUACAUGAAUAUCACCCUAAUGAAUCUCCUUUGUUUCAUUCAUACUUCAGAGCUUAAACAAUGCAAAAGAGAGUAGUGAGAAGCUUUGCGACGAUCUACAGAAACUGUUUGAGUCAGAACUGUCCGAAUCUUGUGUGCCAGGUCUGGAACCAGUUGACCCAAGGGCAAACUCCAAGAGCUGUAAUGAUGAAAAAGAGAGCAAAGAGAAGCUUGGAAACAACCAACCGAAAUUGACAGACACAAAACUCCCCAAAUCUCAUGUGUUGAGUAAGGUGCCGGUUGAACCAAGGGCAAACUCAAAGAUGGAUGAAAAAUAGCGGGAUGAGAAGCUUGCAGACAAUCCACAGACACUGUCUGAAUCAUAUGUGCCAAGCAAAGGACCAGUUGACCCAAAGGCAAACUCAAAGGUGUGGAGGCUGGGCUACCGGUGUCGUGCGGUGUACUCCGAGGAUGGCCUGGUCUACCCAGCGGUGCUGGUGUGGUUGAGAGGCGAACGCUGCCGGGUGAAGUUUGAAGGCUACGGGAAUGAGGAAGAGCUGGAGCUGAGCACCCUGCUAUCUCCAGAUGAACUGGGAGGCCACAGAGGAAGAGUUGAUGCCAAAGUGCAACAAGGGGCUGUUGAUGGAUUCAGGCCCACUAGUAACAACAUCGCUGAUUGGAAGAGGAAGGAAAGAGAUUGGAGGACACCUCAACAAGAGGGACGAGAGGAGCUGUCCUUACCUCAGCCACCUAAGUUUGCUCCAGGAAAAGACUAUGGCAAAAGCAGCUAUGACUUUGGCAAGGAGCAUGGGGAUAAGAAGAAGCCAAGUGGCCAGCGAGAGGUACCAAGUGGCCGAAGAGAGGAACCAAACAAUCACCCCUUUUCCUUCUUUCCUCUAGUGCCACCGCCCAAGGACUCUUUGGUGAGGCUGUUUGCUGUGUGUGUUCCUUACCUACAUGUCUAUCUUUAACCUGUGUGAGACUGUUGUUUUUAUUUCUUAUCUAUUGGUCACCUAAUACCUUAUAUAUAUUUGUUGUUGUUUUUUUAACAUAGAAAUUGCACUGUUUGUUAGAGCCUGUAAGUAAGCAUUUCACUGUAACGUCUACACCUGUUUGUAUUCGGCGCACGUGACAAAUAAACUUUGAUUUGAUUGGCUACCUCCAGUCGGUACAUCCAACAAGAAUAAUGUUAUUCAAUGUCUGUGGUAUUAUGUCGUGGGUGUGCAAUAAAUUUAGUUAUAAAUAAGAGAUACUCAGUUUGUAUUUAAUUUAAGGUGCCUUCGAAAGUAUUCAGACCCCUUGACUUUUGCUACAUUUUGUUAGGUUACAGCCUUAUUCUAAAUUGUUUUCCCCCCCUCAUCAAUCUACACACAGUACCCCAUAAUGACAAAGCAAAAACAGGUUUUCAGAAAUGUUUGCUAAUUUAUAUAUUUUUUUAACCAACUUAAAUAUCACAUUUACAUAAGUAUUCAGACCCUUUACUAAGUACUUUGUUGAAGCACCUUUUGGCAGCGAUUACAGCCUUGAUUCUUCUUGGGCAUGAAGCUACAAGCUUGGCACACCUGUAUUUGGGGAGUUUCUCCCAUUCUUCUCUGCAGAUCCUCUCAAGCUCUGUCAGGUUGGAUGGGGAGUGUUGCUGCACUGCUCUUUUCAGGUCUCUCCAGUUAUGUUCGAUCGGGUUCAAGUCCAGGCUCUUGCUGGGCCACUCAAGGACAUUCAGAGACUUGUCCCGAAGCCACUCCUGCGUUGCCUUGGCUGUGUGCUUAGGGUCGUUGUCCUGUUGGAAGGUUCUCCUUUGCCCCAGUCGGAGGUCCUGAGUGCUCUGGACCAGGUUAUCAUUAAGGAUCUUUCUGUACUUUGCUCCGUUCAUCUUUGCCUUGAUCCUGACUAGCAUUGUAUUAUCUAUAAUCAUUAGGCUACCAUAAUAAUCAAAAUAUGCCUUAAUUGAUAUGAGAUUUUAGACUACAUUUAUAUUAGAUUCAAAAUAAAGUCUAUUUGCGCAGAGAAUAUAGAUUUGUAUCAGAUUGAAAAUGUAGGUCAGCAAUGUGUGACGACCCUCCCACUCUGUCUGCUGUAUUCUUUCUCUUUGCUCUUGUUUUCCUUAUUAGGAUGCCGGUGGGCGGAGCCGGAAGGGUCGUCAGCGACAUGGGACACACCUGGGCCCGGGUGUGUCCCAGGAUAAAUACAGCACUUCCCCCAUUCAUGGAGGAGACUCUCCAUGCAGACACCUUUAUAGAUUUUGUUGUGGUGUUUUUGUGGCCUUUUGUUUGCUUUUGCACCUUUCAACACCCCGCAUUAUCACAUUUAUGCAUGCAAAAACUCACACUACUGAUUAC